CGCCUGAUGACUUCUCCAAAGACGCUUCCCUGGGAAUCGAUAACCACCGCUCUCCGUUUCCCUCCGUCUCUCUCUCUCUCUCUCUCUCUCUGAACGUCACCAGGACAGACACAGAGAGCUCAUUUAUGAAGGAAAGGCACAUUUGCAUAUGGAAAAAUAAUUAAAACAAACAAAGUGAAGCCGGGCCCCCCCGGAGAGGCGAGGAGAGGUGGGGGAGGAGAUCACCCAGCUGCAUGUUUCCAGUUUACCCAGUCUGGGGUGUGAGAGGAUGAGGAAGAGGAGGAGGAGGUGGAGGUGGGAGCAGCAUCCAGAGGAAGACACAUGUAAACCCAUUUCCAAACAAACGGGCCAGUGUGCACGGCGCCGCCCGGCGUAAUGCCUGAAUGAAUCAACGCGAGCGACCGCACAACAGGACAUGGCGGCCAUUUAACACUGGUGGGCCGAUGGUGAUUAUACUGUACACAUGCAGAAAUGAAACCAGUUAACCAGUUGAUGUUGAGGCUCACACAUGUUUACACUCCAGAAAGUUCUCCAUUUUUAUUUAAAGGCCUUUGUGCAGUCAGAACUGACCUGCAGCCAUAUUGUGGGAGUAGAUUUAGUGAUGUGAGGGGGAGGGUUAGCCAAAAUUAGAUCCUAAAUCAUACAAAUGUAUAAUUAAUAAUGAUGAAUUAUGAAUGUAAGAAUGUGGAUUUGAUCUGUUAACUAAUAUAUAAACAACAACUAUGCAUGAAUAUGCAUUAAAACACAGUGGACAGCAUCUUAGCACUGCCAUAGAAGCUAACAUCUACCAUCUUCCUUAUCUCCACUUUUUAGGUGUUCAGCCAAUCAACACCAAGGAAAAUAAACGGCACUCCGUGAUUGGCUCCUCCGCAAACCAGCCAAUAGAAAGUCAGCUAGCAUUGAGCUCAAGUAUUUCAGCCACAUUUUCUUUAACCAUAUUUGAUAUGCUGUAUGAAAAAUAUAAAUGUGACAAAUAAUGCAAAUUUUCUGUCAAUAGUCUAAAGUCGAGUUCCAAAGAAAAUCCACCAAUAGCUUCCAUUUGAAUCACAGCUACACGCAGCUUUAAAUGAUGUUGUUCAUGUCAUGUAGCUCAUGUUCAUGUUUAAUUUAAUUUUUAAUUUUACAAAAUGAGUGUGUGUAAGACGGGAGCUGCAGCUGAAAUUCACCUGCUCAUCUAAAAUGUUGCUUUUGCAAUUUCACUUUUCUUCCUCACGCUUAAAAUCCAGCUUUUACUUUGAAAAGCUGCAGCUCAGAUUACAGCACUGGAUGCUAAAGCUUCCAGCGCAGACAGGAACCAUAAAGACCCGCAGAUGACAUUUCCUCCCGUCUCCCUCAUGAAUAUCAAAGCCAGGCCAGAAAAACAAGGCAGGGCAUUACAGCCCUAUUAUUGUAUUUGCAUUCCUCAUAACAGGCGGCGUAUUGGUUGCUGUAUUUAUUGCCUCAUCAGCGCGGCGUAGCUGCUAGCAGCGGCUGAUUUAUUAGCCCAACGUCACAUGGAGCAAGUUGGCGAAUGGAGCGGAGGAAGGUUUUCCUGCUGGUGGACUUUCCUGGGGAUUGGCUUCUCUCCUGGCCCGGAGCCAGGUCAAGACUUCUACCUGCACAGCUCUACGUCCGGCUCAAUGUUUCCGUUUUUGUUUUGGAGAGUUUCUUGGAACUGCAGCCGAGGUUCUCCGCUCGUCUCUUUUUUCCAAUCUUUCUGGGAUUUGGGGUGAUUUGCGCCGCGCUCCCCAAGGGAAAUAAAUACUUUGAUUAAUGUAAUCCUGGGGAGGCUGAUGUCCCUCCCCUCCCCCACCUGUUCCUCAGGGACUGCUCAGCAAAACAAAAACAAGAAGAAGAAAAAGAAAUGAGCAGAGAGCGACAACUGGACGAGUGCAGACUGGAUUUGUUUCGUUUAUUAAUUAGUGCGCCUUUAAUGCUCAGCAUCAGUCUUGAUUAGCAUGUAGCACUAAUGUAGCGCAGGACAGUCUGCAUAAACUCACGCUCGUGACUCCUGGAAGUGGGGACAUUACGCUGGGUGACACUGCUGGGGAUACAUAUGCAAAGCUGAAACAACUUUCCAGUGCUCAAAUAAUUCCUUGAGAACAAGAAUUUGAUGUGCAAGUUUAAAUUUAUUACAUAGUUUCUAUUGUUGAACCAGAUGGCAAAAAUAGUGGCAGCAUGAUCCUGUGGGAUACGUGUAGCAUGAAGGAGAAGAGAGGCAGGAGUUUGGUUCUCGAAAAAUAACUGAAAGCAAAAGUUAAA